UACCAGCUGGCUGCAACUGUUUAUUAAAAACACAGCACUGUGCAAACACGAAAGUGGACGUAUACGGUGUGACGCCUGCCCGGUGCCGGAAGGUUAAUUGAUGGGGUCAGCGCAAGCGAAGCUCCUGAUCGAAGCCCCGGUAAACGGCGGCCGUAACUAUAACGGUCCUAAGGUAGCGAAAUUCCUUGUCGGGUAAGUUCCGACCUGCACGAAUGGCGUAAUGAUGGCCAGGCUGUCUCCACCCGAGACUCAGUGAAAUUGAACUCGCUGUGAAGAUGCAGUGUACCCGCGGCAAGACGGAAAGACCCCGUGAACCUUUACUAUAGCUUGACACUGAACAUUGAGCCUUGAUGUGUAGGAUAGGUGGGAGGCUUUGAAGUGUGGACGCCAGUCUGCAUGGAGCCGACCUUGAAAUACCACCCUUUAAUGUUUGAUGUUCUAACGUGGACCCGUUACCCGGGUUGCGGACAGUGUCUGGUGGGUAGUUUGACUGGGGCGGUCUCCUCCUAAAGAGUAACGGAGGAGCACGAAGGUUGGCUAAUCCUGGUCGGACAUCAGGAGGUUAGUGCAAUGGCAUAAGCCAGCUUGACUGCGAGCGUGACGGCGCGAGCAGGUGCGAAAGCAGGUCAUAGUGAUCCGGUGGUUCUGAAUGGAAGGGCCAUCGCUCAACGGAUAAAAGGUACUCCGGGGAUAACAGGCUGAUACCGCCCAAGAGUUCAUAUCGACGGCGGUGUUUGGCACCUCGAUGUCGGCUCAUCACAUCCUGGGGCUGAAGUAGGUCCCAAGGGUAUGGCUGUUCGCCAUUUAAAGUGGUACGCGAGCUGGGUUUAGAACGUCGUGAGACAGUUCGGUCCCUAUCUGCCGUGGGCGCUGGAGAACUGAGGGGGGCUGCUCCUAGUACGAGAGGACCGGAGUGGACGCAUCACUGGUGUUCGGGUUGUCAUGCCAAUGGCACUGCCCGGUAGCUAAAUGCGGAAGAGAUAAGUGCUGAAAGCAUCUAAGCACGAAACUUGCCCCGAGAUGAGUUCUCCCUGAGACUUUAGGUCUCCUGAAGGAACGUUGAAGACGACGACGUUGAUAGGCCGGGUGUGUAAGCGCAGCGAUGCGUUGAGCUAACCGGUACUAAUGAACCGUGAGGCUUAAC
rnacentral:rRNA from 1 species